GUGGUCAAGCUAAUAAGGGCUUGCGGAGGAUACCUAGGCACACAGAGGCGAAGAAGGACGUGGUUACCAACGAAAAGCUCCGGGGAGUUGGAAGCAAGCAUUGAGCCGGAGGUGUCCGAAUGGGGGAACCCUAAAAACUGCCUAUUGAAUAUAUAGAUAGGUAAGAGCGAACCGGGCGAACUGAAACAUCUUAGUAGCCCGAGGAAAAGAAAUCAAACGAGAUUCUCCAAGUAGUGGUGAGCGAACGGGGAAGAGCCUAAACCAACAAGCUUGCUUGUUGGGGUAGUGGGACAGCAUGAUGCGAAUCGUAGAGUUAGACGAAGCAUUGAAAAGAUGCACCAGAGAAAGUGAAAGUCUUGUAGUCGAAAACUUGAAGAUAGCAGCUGAAUCCCGAGUAGCAUGGGGCACGUGAAAUUCCAUGUGAAUCAGUCUCGACCACGAGAUAAGGCUAAAUACUCCUGUGUGACCGAUAGCGAAACAGUACCGCGAGGGAAAGGUGAAAAGAACCCCAACAAGGGGAGUGAAAAAGAACAUGAAACCGCAAGCCCACAAGCAGUGGGAGGACGAUUAAACGUCUGACCGCGUGCCUGUUGAAGAAUGAGCCGGCGAGUUAUAAGCACUGGUAGGUUAAGUGGAUAGCACGAAGCCAAAGCGAAAGCGAGUCUGAAGAGGGCGCAAAUCAGUGUUUAUAGACCCGAACCCUGGUGAUCUAACCAUGACCAGGAUGAAGCUUGGGUAACACCAAGUGGAGGUCCGCACCGACCGAUGUUGAAAAAUCGGCGGAUGAGUUGUGGUUAGGGGUGAAAUGCCAAUCGAACCAGGAGCUAGCUGGUUCUCCCCGAAAUGUGUUGAGGCGCAGCGGUUGUGAUUAACUCGGGGGGUAAAGCACUAUUUCGGUGCGGGCUGCGAGAGCGGUACCAAAUCGAGAUAAACUCUGAAUACCCGAAGAAGACACAGCCAGUGAGACGGUGGGGGAUAAGCUUCAUCGUCAAGAGGGAAACAGCCCAGACCACCAGCUAAGGUCCCGAAAUCAUCGCUAAGUGGCAAAGGAGGUGGGAGUGCAUAGACAACCAGGAGGUUUGCCUAGAAGCAGCCACCCUUGAAAGAGUGCGUAAUAGCUCACUGGUCAAGCGCUCCUGCGCCGAAAAUGAAUGGGACUAAGCGAUGUACCGAAGCUGUGGGAUUACAUU
rnacentral:rRNA from 1 species